AUGGCGACCACCAACACCAAAGCCAUAAAAUCCUCUUGUGGCCUCCUUCUCAUCACAAUCCUCCUAGCUAUGUCUUCAAACAAUGCAUGUGGCGAAGACCUACCGCCUUCACCAGCAUAGGCGCUGCUGUCAUCCCCCGUCGGCGGACGAUGCAAGUUGAGCGAUGAAAUUGCUCUCAAAGUGUGCGUCAACAUCCGCUUGGGCAAGAUGAGCCGUUUGAGAAGAACCAGUGCUGCCAGCAGAUUCGUCAGACGCCAAGCGCCGUAGACUAUUUGUGUUCUGCCUUCACCCGAGCACGUGCCCGUGUCUAUGCCAAUGUCCUUGAUGAAAUCAAUGCCAUUCUCACAGUCUGUGGUAAGACUCGUGUCCAUGACCAAUUCUGUCUCCAACGAUCAGGGUGA
rnacentral:rRNA from 1 species